rnacentral:rRNA from 1 species
AACGAACGCUGGCGGCAGGCUUAACACAUGCAAGUCGAACGCCCCGCAAGGGGAGUGGCAGACGGGUGAGUAACGCGCGGGAAUCUACCCAGAACUACGGAACAACUGAGGGAAACUUCAGCUAAUACCGUAUACGCCCUACGGGGGAAAGAUUUAUCGGUUUUGGAUGAGCCCGCGUUAGAUUAGCUAGUUGGUGGGGUAAUGGCCUACCAAGGCGACGAUCUAUAGCUGGUCUGAGAGGAUGAUCAGCCACACUGGGACUGAGACACGGCCCAGACUCCUACGGGAGGCAGCAGUGGGGAAUAUUGGACAAUGGGCGCAAGCCUGAUCCAGCCAUGCCGCGUGAGUGAUGAAGGCCUUAGGGUUGUAAAGCUCUUUCAGUGGGGACGAUAAUGACGGUACCCACAGAAGAAGCCCCGGCUAACUUCGUGCCAGCCGCCGCCGUAAGAC